rnacentral:rRNA from 1 species
AGAGCGAACGCUGGCGGCAGGCCUAACACAUGCAAGUCGAGCGCCGUAGCAAUACGGAGCGGCAGACGGGAGAGUAACACGUGGGAACGUACCUUUUGGUUCGGAACAACUGAGGGAAACUUCAGCUAAAUACCGGAUAAGCCCUUACGGGGAAAGAUUUAUCGCCAAAAGAUCGGCCCGCGUCUGAUUAGCUAGUUGGUGAGGUAACGGCUCACCAAGGCGACGAUCAGUAGCUGGUCUGAGAGGAUGAUCAGCCUCACUGGGACUGAGACACGGCCCAGACUCCUACGGGAGGCAGCAGUGGGGAAUAUUGGACAAUGGGCGCAAGCCUGAUCCAGCCAUGCCGCGUGGGUGAUGAAGGCCCUAGGGUUGUAAAGCCCUUUCGGCGGGGAAGAUAAUGACGGUACCCGCAGAAGAAGCCCCGGCUAACUUCGUGCCAGCAGCCGC